UCCCUGGUGGCUCAGGGUAAAGCAUCUGCCUGCAAUGCAGGAGACUGGGUUCGAUCCCCAGGUCGGGAA
rnacentral:tRNA from 1 species